GUUUGAUCCUGGCUCAGGAUGAACGCUAGCGGGAGGCCUAACACAUGCAAGCCGAGCGGUAGAAGUCCUUCGGGACUUUGAGAGCGGCGUACGGGUGCGUAACACGUGUGCAACCUACCUUUAUCAGGGGAAUAGCCUUUCGAAAGGAAGAUUAAUACUCCAUAAUAUAUUGAAUGGCAUCAUUCGGAUUGAAAACUCCGGUGGAUAGAGAUGGGCACGCGCAAGAUUAGAUAGUUGGUGAGGUAACGGCUCACCAAGUCAAUGAUCUUUAGGGGUCCUGAGAGGGAGAUCCCCCACACUGGUACUGAGACACGGACCAGACUCCUACGGGAGGCAGCAGUGAGGAAUAUUGGACAAUGGGUGAGAGCCUGAUCCAGCCAUCCCGCGUGAAGGAUGACGGUCCUAUGGAUUGUAAACUUCUUUUAUACAGGGAUAAACCUAGAUACGUGUAUCUAGCUGAAGGUACUGUAUGAAUAAGCACCGGCUAACUCCGUG
rnacentral:rRNA from 1 species